GAUGAACGCUGGCGGCGUGCCUAAUACAUGCAAGUCGAGCGAAUGGAUUAAGAGCUUGCUCUUAUGAAGUUAGCGGCGGACGGGUGAGUAACACGUGGGUAACCUGCCCAUAAGACUGGGAUAACUCCGGGAAACCGGGGCUAAUACCGGAUAACAUUUUGAACCGCAUGGUUCGAAAUUGAAAGGCGGCUUCGGCUGUCACUUAUGGAUGGACCCGCGUCGCAUUAGCUAGUUGGUGAGGUAACGGCUCACCAAGGCAACGAUGCGUAGCCGACCUGAGAGGGUGAUCGGCCACACUGGGACUGGGACACGGCCCAGACUCCUACGGGAGGCAGCCGUAGGGAAUCUUCCGCAAUGGACGAAAGUCUAACGGAGCAACGCCGCGUGAGUGAUGAAGGCUUUCGGGUCGUAAAACUCUGUUGUUAGGGAAGAACAAGUGCUAGUUGAAUAAGCUGGCACCUUGACGGUACCUAACCAGAAAGCCACGGCUAACUACGUGCCAGCCGCCGCAGUAA
rnacentral:rRNA from 1 species